GCCAGAUAUUUUUGGAGCAAUGGUAGCAGUAGGGGAUAUUGAAGAAGCUGAAAUAGAGAACCAUAGCCUCCACUUCUCUUUAGUCAAUAUGGAGUAUGAACACAUUAACUGUGUAGCAUAUGGAGAAGUUGCUCUGUUUUUAGAUAACUAAUGGAACUCAACCAAUGCCCCUGUCGUCCUAUGUGUGUUACAGUUUUGGGAAAUUGAUUGGGGUGUUGGUGGAUUCAAGCACGUGAAAACGAUUGAUGGAUUUUCGUGAAUUUUAUUUGAGCCUGAUGAUGUUCCAGAGAUCCAGUCUUUUAGAAUGAGGUAAUAUAAUUUGAUUGUUCAAUAGACAUUAUAUUUAUGCUCACUUAUUUCUAUAUUUUUUUUAUAGGAUUCCAUACUAUGCCUACUGAAGAA